GGACCCGCACAAGCGGUGGAACAUGUGGUUCAAUUCGAUGCUACGCGAAAAACCUCACCAGGGUUUGACAUACAGGAAGUAGUGAACUGAAAGGGGAACGACUCGUUAAAUCGAGAGCCUGUACAGGUGCUGCAUGGCUGUCGUCAGCUCGUGUCGUGAGAUGUUGGGUUAAGUCCCGCAACGAGCGCAACCAUCAUCCUAUGUUGCUAAGGUAUUUGGCCGCAAGGUCGGAUGCCAGCACUCUUAGGAGACUGCCUGGGAUAACCAGGAGGAAGGUGGAGAUGACGUCAAGUCAGUACGGCCUUUAUGCCCUGGGCUACACACGUGUUACAAUGGAUGUUACAAAGAGUUGCCAACCCGCGAGGGGGAGCCAAUCUCUAAAAAGCAUCCCCAGUUCAGAUUGGAGUCUGCAAUUCGACUCCAUGAAGCCGGAAUCGCUAGUAAUGGAAGAUCAGCACGCUUCCGUGAAUACGUUCCCGGGUCUU
rnacentral:rRNA from 1 species